AGAAUCAUAAUCUUUUUAUCAAAUCACUUGCAAAUAUUCUUGCAAUAACAACUAAUGUUAAGCCGACGAUCAACUAUAUUACAAGACACAACAAACUAGACACUAGGAGGGAAAAUCACGCUUAUGGAUAUGAGUGGAAUGCCAAUGCGUGCAACUUUAUUUGGAGAUUUAGCUACAAAUGAAGGAUCAAUUCUUAAAGCAGAAAUCAAAUAUAAGCCUGUAAUAGCAAUAUCAGAUUUUAAAAUCUCUAUAUAUCAAGGGGAUACAAGCAUAUCGUCGCAAAUUAUUUUAACAUUAUGUAUCAACCCAAAAAUAGAACUAGCUAGCGAAUUAAGGGAAUGGUAAGCAGAACAAGCAUACUUUCAUAUAACCCAAUAAUGAAAUAUUAUUAUAUUUUAAUCUAAUAUGCAGGUUUCAAUUGGAAGAAUCUGCAAAAGCAAAAGGAUCUCCAUCGACGCUUUUUAAAAAUGCCAAGGAAAUUCAUAUUAGUGAUAUUAUGCAUAAGUCACAAAAUUCGAUACAGGUACAAUAUUAUAUACAUAUUCUCAUCUACAAAUUUAAAUCUAACUAAACUUUGUUAAUAUACAGGCACAGUAUUGCACCUUUAAGGUAAAUAUAACUACUAUUUUAAAUAGGCUCGAUCCAUGGUUCUAUGCUUGCAAAGGCUGUGACAAGAAGGUUGAUAAAGAUGUUAGUAAAGAGUGUCUAAAUGACAAAUGCCGCAGAAUCAUUGAUGACCCAAUACCAAGGUACUUAGUUAAGAUUCUCGUGGAAAAUGGCACGGAUAAUGCAAGAGUAACACUUUUUGACGUAGCAGAAACUCUUAUUGGAUGCAAAGCAGAAACAUUCAUUACAGAAAAGAAAGAGAAAAAUAAUCAGAGUCCAUAUUACCAAAAAUUUGUUUUGAGCAUCGGAAAAACAUUCAAAUUCCUGGUGAAGUUAGAUAAAAAGACAAAAGAUGAACGUGGCGAAGGCAAUAU